GCUAAUUGCCGAGGUCCUCUUCUAGGAUUGGUUGUCCACUCAUAACCAUAAGAUAAUUAAAACGGGGGGGGGCAGGGUAAAAAAAAAACCCUUUUAUCAGCCAUAGGUUAAUGCAAGUGUUUAACAGAUGCUUCGCUAUUAAAAUAUUUCCCCCCAAUACUGAAGAAUCUUAAACCAGCAACCCUAACAGAGAUUGCGAAGAUUUUCAAAGUGGGGCACCUCGAUUUCUCGAAUCUGUGGUGUGGCGAAUAUCCGUGUUCCUCCUGCUUAACUAGCCUGUUUGCAUCUUUUGACACAUUUUACUUCCGUAAUUUCGGACUGCCAGAAGGCACAGUUCAUUCUCGAGCAAUUCGUCACCUCCUGGGGGUCUUCUCUUCCCGUCUACAGGAGAGUGUGACUUCAGAAAGAACUUCGGAUUGGCCAAGGCAGGUCUGAUUCUAUUUAUUCUAAAGACAGAGUUGGAGAUGGGCUACCAUUGGUGUUGAUUGAGAUGACAAGCAGUCACCUGAGCCCAUACAGCUGGGUUCACAGAUGUGGCUAGUCUUGCUAGCCAGCUCGCACUGUGGACAUUCUAGGGAACUGACUGCAGUCCUCAUGCUUGGAGUCAAACACUUUAACCACUGCACACGUUUAUGUAAUAGGAUUGACAUAUGAGAAUCAGAGAAAUGAAUGAAAGAUUAGAGUGGGAGAAAGUGCUUGCUGCCAAGCUUGAUGACCUAAAUUGAAUACCUGGAACCUACACGACAGAAAGAGAGAGCUGACUGCUGAAAGAUGUCCUCAGAUCUUCACAUGUGCACAGUGGCACCUAUCCAACCAUGCACAUAGUAUAUUAAAAAUUAUUUUUUAAAAAAUCCA
rnacentral:lncRNA from 1 species